rnacentral:rRNA from 1 species
CCGCGUAAAGGAUGAAGGCGCUUUGCGUUGUAAACUUUUGUAGUCGGGGACAAAUUGCGGGUUACUACCCGCUUGAUGGUACCCGAAAAGUAAGGAUCGGCUAACUACGGGC